AUGAACGCUGGCGGCGUGCCUAAUACAUGCAGGUCGAGCGAACGGACGAGAAGCUUGCUUUUCUGAUGUUAGCGGCGGACGGGUGAGUAACACGUGGAUAACCUACCUAUAAGACUGGGAUAACUUCGGGAAACCGGAGCUAAUACCGGAUAAUAUUUUGAACCGCAUGGUUCAAAAGUGAAAGACGGUCUUGCUGUCACUUAUAGAUGGAUCCGCGCUGCAUUAGCUAGUUGGUAAGGUAACGGCUUACCAAGGCAACGAUGCAUGGCCGACCUGAGAGGGUGAUCGGCCACACUGGAACUGAGACACGGUCCAGACUCCUACGGGAGGCAGCAGUAGGGAAUCUUCCGCAAUGGGCGAAAGCCUGACGGAGCAACGCCGCGUGAGUGAUGAAGGUCUUCGGAUCGUAAAACUCUGUUAUUAGGGAAGAACAUAUGUGUAAGUAACUGUGCACAUCUUGACGGUACCUAAUCAGAAAGCCACGGCUAACUACGUG
rnacentral:rRNA from 1 species